GCUUAACAAAAUAAAUCAGGGCCUGAGAAAACGGCUCAGCCGAAUUCAAUCCACAGAGUCCAGGUUGUGGACUGUGCUUAUCAUUCCAGCCUAGGGACGGGGAGACAGGAGCAUCCUGGGGUCGGGGGCCUCACAGCCUACUUCGUGAGCUCUAGAGCAGUAAGAGACGGGCACUAAUCAAUCAAUCAAUCAAUCAAUCAAUCAGUAAAUAAGUGGUGAUCAGCACCUAAGGAAUGACAGACACCCAAGGUUAAUAACCUCUGACCGUCACCUUCAUGCACAUAGAUAUGUGCACACACCAACACACAUUUGUACAUAUAUGGAUGUACACACACACACACACACACACACACACACACACACACAAUCAGCAGGUACCUCAGGCAGGGGUGAGCUUCCAUCACUGGACAUCUCCCAACACAGGUGGCUGGACAUGGGGCAGGUCAGUAAAGAGCUAAUGAAAUCAGACCGGGCAGAACUGAGUGAACUGAAUCUUUUAAAGUCCUAAUUCCGUCUCAUGAUUCUAAGGUUUAGGAGAGAUGAGGUUCAUUGAAGAGAGGAAAUGGUAUCUCGGUCAACUGGCUUCAAGGCUGACCCUUGACGCCCAAGCUCAGAGACUACCCUAAAUCCAUCGACCUUGGAAACAAAACUCUAGCUGCUGUACCUUUAAUCCACUGAUCUUGAUAUUUGCCUCUAGGGCUACAGAGGUCAAGGCUGGAUUGCCUUUCACAGCGAAACCAUUAAACGCAGUGAGCAAGGAAGCCUAUGCCUACACCUUCUCCUCCCCCAACAGUCCACCCUCACCACCUGUCCACCCAGCCUGGCUCCUACAAUGGCCGCUGCCUCAUGUAUAGCACUUGCUAAAUAGGCAUGAGAUGUGCCUACACUGGGUUUAUCGUUGCCCCAACAGAGUUGGAUGCUUCUAACACCAUCCUAAAUCACCUGAGAGCUUACUGGACACUCAGUGUUAUGUAUCUGUUGGUAUUCUAAGCUCCACCCCCCAGCUACCAGGGAACAGCCAGCUCCUGGGGAUCUGUCAAGUGGCUUUGACCAACUGACCAGUGGAUGAGGAGGCAAGCUGCAGGAGAGGUCCCACUGGAUUCAAAUCCAGAGGAAUAAAGCACACAACAUGCCAAGCAGAGUGACCUGGUUCAUUAAGAACGCUCCAUUGCACGGGGAUUCGAUCCUGGAAAACAACAUGGCCCUGGGCGGACAGUGACCAUCUUUAUGCUUGUGGCUGUGGCCACUGCAUACUCAGCAGCAGUUGGACAACUGCUAGGCUUCCCAGGCCACCUGAAGAGAUGUAAUGUGGGCCUUAGACCAAGUCAACACCAGUCUCAUCAAAGAACGAGGGUUCCUGUUGGACAGGUCAUUAGUAGAGGAAUUUUCAUUCCUCUAUUAUAGGCAAAAAUUCCAACACUUCUGUGGCAUCACUGAUCUCUAAUUACAUAGCUUCUGGGUAACUGUAUCCAAGUAUUUACUGGUUAUGUUUCUUACCAAGAUGUGCCAACUUGCAUAAUUUCUUCACCCUGGGAAGGUAUAAGAACCUCCUUCCGAAACCAGAAUGUCCUGCGUUUAGCGGGAAUAGAAGUGCUUCUUGGAUAGGCCCGCUUCUUUUGUCCUGGGACUAUUUGCUUGAGUAGGGUCUCAUUAUUGAGUUCACUCUGUCCAUAAACCUUCAAUCCCCUUGCCUGAGCCUCACAUGCCGGGUACGCCACUAACCACCUGUUCUUGAAGAGCUGUUUCCAUCCUCAUCUAUGGAGAAAUCCCACCCGCUCAUCACCUCCAACAGUUUUGGAGCCCAGCCAAGUUGGCCUGCCUAGAUAUUUCCCACCAAGAAAGCCAAUGGUCCCUACCAGUGCCAAGACCUUUAGUACCAAGGCACAAAGCCGAGCUGUUUUUAUUGUCUGUUCAGUUUAGGUCAGGCUUAUAUCCCAGGCUGACCUUGAGCUUCUGAGUCCCCCGUGUGUGCUUGUCACCACACUGGGCAGCAAGCGCUGAAGCCUCGGCACAGGACUUGGUGUGAGGUGAAUGUGUUCCAACUGACCUCUAUCUCUAAGCCUCUCCGACACCACAGCUGUGCUUGAAUAGGUCAGUGUCUUGUGGUAUCCACCCUUAUUAUCCUAGAUUUAAAAUUCGAGUUUGUAGAAAUUGUUGAAUCAACUAGAAGAAAGUACGUCAGUUCUCAAAUUAGCUAUGUCACUGGAGAGGGCUGGGGAUGUGCCGUUUUCAAUCCAGCUGUGUUUUAUUUAAUCUAGUUUUGUGUUUUUGACUUUGGGAUGCAUUGAUUAUCUCCAGUGGGUUAACUUUUCUAAUUAUAUUUUGUACAGUCUAAUAUUAUCAAGCAUUUAUAUUCUCUGAGCACACAAGGUUUGACAAUGAGAAUUAAAGGACAGACUCAGCUUUUCCAAAACCAAAAUGAAAACCAAACCCAGAGCCACACGCGUCUCAGAGGUGAGAUGGGAAAGCACACUUGGACAGUGAAGCAGCAAACUGAUCGUGCAGUGCCCUGGCAUAAUCACACCCAGACCCGUGGACAGGGAUCGAAGACGCCCGCUAACUCCUGAAAAGGACAGACUUUCCAGCAUCCUCUUUAGAGUUAAUGGAGCUUGAUGAGAAAAUCAGGAAGCAAGGACCAGUGAGUUCCUGGGUGGUCUUUCAAGUGAAAAAACUGGGAGCAAGAACACCAACCCGUUUUAAAAGAGCAUUUAAAAUGAACUUUAUUGUUUGAACUUUACAAGUAGUCUUUAGAGUCUUCAAACAAGAACUCUGUUGCAAAACUCUAAUAAACAGCUUGCCCCAAGUCCCCAAAGAAACAGGAAAACCAAAUGAAAAGGAAACUGGGAAAGAUAAGCAAGACUUCAGAAUGCUCGGGUGUUAGCAGUAUUUCUCAUUUACAGAAAGACAUUGGGCAAUGUACAGUCUCCUUCACAGACAUUAGAGUCAACCCCAUCUUUACAAAGCAUUCCCAAAUCCUCUUAUUUCACGGUAGAACUGUUAAUGGGGGGAAAAAAACCUCAGAGAAAUCACAUUGUGAAAGUACAG
ensembl:lncRNA